AUGGGAGGAAAAGAAACCAACAGGGAUUGCCUUAGUAACGGCGAGUGAGCGGCAAAAGCUCAAAUUUGAAAUCUGGCACCUUCGGUGUCCGAGUUGUAAUUUGAAGAUGGUAACUUUGGAGUUAGCUCUUGUCUAUGUUCCUUGGAACAGGACGUCACAGAGGGUGAGAAUCCCGUGCGAUGAGAUGUCUAACUCUAUGUAAAGUGCUUUCGAAGAGUCGAGUUGUUUGGGAAUGCAGCUCUAAGUGGGUGGUAAAUUCCAUCUAAAGCUAAAUAUUGGCGAGAGACCGAUAGCGAACAAGUACAGUGAUGGAAAGAUGAAAAGAACUUUGAAAAGAGAGUGAAAAAGUACGUGAAAUUGUUGAAAGGGAAGGGUUUGAGAUCAGACUUGGUAUUUUGUAUGUCUUGCUUUCGGGUGGGGCCUCUGCAGUUUACUGGGCCAGCAUCGGUUUGGAUGGUAGGAUAAUGACAUUGGAAUGUGGCACUACUUCUGUGGGGUGUGAUAGACUUUGUUGAUACUGCCUGUCUAGACCGAGGACUGCGUCUUUGACUAGGAUGCUGGGGUAAUGAUCCUAAACC
rnacentral:rRNA from 1 species